CUUUGCAGUCCGAGUUCCGGGAGAAGAGCAGGCGAAAGGUCGCUGCGUUCCUUCAUUUCAAUUCUUUCUCGUUACCUGAGACUCAACUGUGUGAAAUAUGAAUCGGCAUAUAACACCAAGGCUCGAUUGGAGUUCAAUACUAGUAGAAGAUGAAGAAUCAGAUCAGCCAGUUGGAGCCGUGGCUGACCAGCAGCCCAGGGAUGAACAACCUCAACAAGAGGAGCCACCCACUGAGAGUCAGGAUAUUGCACCUGAUGAAGAGCAAGCACAUGCAGGAGCACCUGAGGUUCAAGGAGCUGACCUUGAAGCUGAUGUUCAAGAACUGGAGAAACCAGUGACUGGGGUUGAGGGUGGAGAUGAUCCUGAAAUCAUCGGGUAUGCUUGUGCAAAUCCAGAGCCCACUGAAAUGCCAGAAACAGGGGAAGGAAAACCAGCCAUUUAAAGGAAGAUGAUCUGAAGACACACAGAUUAUUUUUAUGUUGGAUACUUCACUGUUAAAGUUCUCUCAAUAAAGUUUUACACCAUUA